GAAUACGUUCCCGGGCCUUGUACACACCGCCCGUCACACCAUGGGAGUGGGUUGCAAAAGAAGUAGGUAGCUUAACCUUCGGGAGGGCGCUUACCACUUUGUGAUUCAUGACUGGGGUGAAGUCGUAACAAGGUAACCGUAGGGGAACCUGCGGUUGGAUCACCUCCUUACCUGAAAGAAGC
rnacentral:rRNA from 1 species